rnacentral:tRNA from 1 species
GUUUUAGUAGUUUAAUUAAAACACUGGUCUUGUAAACCAAUAUUAAGAUUUUAUCUUCUAAAACU